rfam:Helianthus annuus linkage group 16, whole genome shotgun sequence.
UCCUCUGAUGAUGAUUCAAAUAAAAACUUUCGUUCUUCCGAGGAUGAUAUCCGUCUAUGCGGAAACAGUUAUUGGAGACCUGAACUGAAGAGGC